CCAGCUCCCUCACUUCAAAGCCCCCCUGCCCAAAAUCCCUCCAAACGUAAAGCCCAUCUUCACACACUCGCCCUCACACGUCUACUGUGCACUACUGAGAGACAUCCUAGAAAGAUGCAGUCCUGCCGGCUUUAUUUGGGGACAAUCGUGAUCUUGUCAAGCGUUGCCCCGCCUGUCACAGCGUUCUCUCGUGGUGCGGGUCCUGCUUCGUGCCAGACGAUGAGUCCCGGCCACAUCCGGACCCAACCUCAGGACCUGCAGCAGAACCACAUCACUAUUCGUACAUCGGUGCGCUCGUAUCUGCCUGGACAGCUGGUUACAGUGACAGUCCGAAGCUCUCGGGACUUCAUGGGUUUCCUGCUGCAGGCCCGCAGUGGUGACGAUUCCCAAGUCAUGGCCGGAAUCGCAGGUGGGGCAGGGUCCCCUGCAGAGGGUCCGGUUCUGGUGCGCGGUUCCUGGACCCUUGCUCC